rnacentral:lncRNA from 1 species
AGGGUCCUGUGUGUGGGAGAUUGCAGGGGGCAGGUGGGGAGAGAAAUUCCGUAUUGAAGAGGUAGAUAGAUGUGAGCGUGAGAGGGAAGAGGAAGGAGGGGCGGGUGAAAUCUUUAGAGCCUGGGAGAAGGAUGAAACAAGAGAACUGGCUGGCGGAGUUCCCGUCGUGGUGCAGUGGUUCACGAAUCCGACUAGGAACCAUGAGGUUGCGGGUUCGGUCCCUGCCCUUGCUCAGUGGGUGAAGGAUCGGGCGUUGCCAUGAGCUGUGGUGCAGGUCGCAGCUGCGGCUCGGAUCCCGAGUUGCUGUGGCUCUGGCGUAGGCUGGUGGCUACAGCUCCGAUUCGACCCCUAGCCUGGGAACCUCCAUAUGCCGCAGGAGUGGCCCAAGAAAUAAGAAAAAGAAAAAAAAAAAAAAAAAAAAAAGAGAACUGGCUGGGGUGUGAACAGUGGCUCUGGAGUUGAGCCAGUUAGGAGUGGGGUCCAGAUUGCUCAUGGGAACUGCAGAGGAGGGAUGACUCUUAUCGUGUGGGGUGGGGGUGGGGGUGGGUAAAAGUGAUCUGAAAAAGGGGGUCCCACUGAGUGUGAUGGGCCAGACAGAGAGUGGGAGGAAGGUGGCUCCGGCAGGUGGACCACUUGGCACAGGCACCUGUGUGGAGCAUGUUGGACCUACGCACAUCCUCCCCAGGCGUGGCUCCAGCAGGUGAUGUAGCUUCUGAUGGGAGACAGAGAGCCAGACUCAGGAUGUCUUGCUAGGGGGGUUUGGGUUUCCUUUUAUUUCAGAACACCCCUCACCUAUGCAAUGCAGAACAACCCCACAGCAGGACGGUGCGCAAAAGGAAGGUGACAACGAGCAGCACAGUGUCACCCCCAUUCGGGGGGCCCACCCCCAUCUCCCACCUCCACCCCCUCCAGCAUGUCCUUAGGGUGUUCAUCUCACACCACUAGGCUCUAGGGGAUGUGUAUGGGGGUGUGUGUAUAUAUAUAUGAAUGACUGGGUCACUUUGCUGUACAGCAGAAAUUGGCACAACAAUGUAAGUCAACUAUAAAUCAAAAAUAAAAUAAACACAAAAAUUUUAUUUGUCCGUUCAUCAGUGGAUGGACAGGUAGGGUGUUUCCACCUUUUGGCUAUUGUGAUGUAAGUUUUUGUGUGACCGUGUUUUCAACUCUCUUGAGUGUUCACCUAGCCGUGGAAUUGUUGGGCCCUUUGAUAUGUUUUCUGUUUGUUUUGUUUGGCUUUAUUUUUGCUUUUUAGGGCCGCACUUACGGCAUAUGGCUGUGCCAAGGCUAGGGGUUGCAUUGGAGCUACAGCUGCCAGCCUACACCACAGCCACAGCCACACCAGAUCCGAGCCGCAUCUUGGACCUACACCACAGCUCACGGCAACGCCAGAUCUUAACCCACUGAGCGAGGCCAGGGAUCGAACCCCCCCGGUCCUCAUGGAUUCUAGUUGAUUUCGUUACUGCUGAGCCACGACAGCAUCUCCUGGAUUUAUGUUCUCUGUUUAACUUUUGCAGACCAUUUCCAUUUAAAUAACAUGUUAAGUUAAAAAAGUCAGUUAAAAGAAAAAUAUGCAGAAGUUCCUGUCGUGGUGCAGUGGUUAACGAAUCCGACUAGAAACCAUGAGGUUGCAGGUUCGAUCCCUGGCCUUGCUCAGCGAGUUAAGGAUCUGGUGUUGCCGAGAGCUGUGGUAUGGGUCGCAGACACGGCUUGGAUCCUAUGUGGCUGUGGCUCUGGCGUAGGCCAGUGGCUACAGCUCCAAUUUCGACCCCUGGCCUGGGAAUCUCCAUGUGUUGCGGGACUGGCCCUAGAAAAGUCAAAAAGACAAAAAAAAAAAGAAAAGUAUGCAUCGUGUUGCCGAUGGGGUGUGGAUAUGCUGGCUAUUGUGACAGCGGCGUCUAGAGGUGGGAGGGUGGCCGCUCCCCGGGAUGGGACCUCUCCAUGCGCUGUCUCCCAUUUGUGUCCCCAGCCACAUGUCCUUCCUUUUCUGGGAGGCUCAGUGUACCCAGUGUUCUCAUUGUCCCUAAGAAGCUCUGCUUCCUCAAAAGUGCUGCCAUUGGCUGGCCUGGGAUGUGGUCCACCCUUUGUCUCCCGCAGAGAACUAGGCUUCUCAGAACCAGCCUGUUGCUGAGCACUUCCAGUUUAAGCCUUAACUUGCAUUCCCCCUCUUCUUUCUCACUAAUGGCUUUGCUGGUGGAUUUUUUCCCUCCACCACAAGCUCCUGAUGGCAGGUUCUGUAUUUGAAUGGCCCAUUGGUCCCCUUGCUGGAGAGGUGCUGAACAGGCACCUGCUCACUGGACCUUUCUUGGCGCCUGCCCUCAGUGGGCGGCCAGCUCCAGUGUUUGCUCUCGCCGUGUUUCUGUUACUGUUGGCUUGUGGCUUACCCUUCCGUUAACUGGAGUCCAGCUGUUUGGGGUGUAUUAGCCAGAGGCUUUCACGUCCCAGGAGAGAGAGGGAGUGUGUGAGUGUGUGUGUGUGUGUGUGUGUGUGUGUGUGUGUGUGUGUGUGUUAGUUCAUCUUUUUUGGUUGCAAGAAACAAACCAGUUCCAGUCGGCUAAUGCUGGAAGGGGAAUCUAGUAUAAGAACCCAGGGAUGUUGCUUGGGUCUAAGAGGAAGGUCAGCCUGGCUGAAGGGAGGGAAGAGGAUUUGUUUUUUUAAUUGUCUUUUUAGGGCUGCACCCAUGGCAUGUGGAGGUUCCCAAGCAAGGGAUCGAAUCGGAGCUACAGAUGCUGGUCUACACCACAGCCAUAGCAACGCAGGAUCCGAGCUGUGCCUGCAACCUACACCACAGCUCACAGCAACGCUGGAUCCUUAACCCACUGAGUGUGGCCAGGGAUCGAACCCUCAACCUUAUGGUUCCUAGUCGGAUUCGUUUCUGCUGCGCCAUGACAGGAACUCCCUUUUAUUUUUUAUUUUAUUUUUUUUGUCUGGGAGGAGAAUUGGGAGCUGGAUGGCUGUUGAGACCCUGCAUCUCUUCUCUCUCUCCUCCUCGACUGUGUUCAUCCUUCUCACUUAUGGGUCCACCUGCUUUCCGUGCCUUUCCCUCUGGUGUUUGAGGGAUGAUGACAUCUCACAGCUGCCUGGGGUGCCUCGUCCCCUUGCAUCUCAGCUUCCGUCUAAAGUCUGUGCAAGCACCUGAUGGGCCCAGCCUAGAUCUGGUGGCCAGUGACCUGGAGCCAUGGGUGAGAUCAUCUAACCUCCGUCCCCGGGACUGUGGGGAAGGGGCAGUCCCUGUGGGGGGUCCCUGGAGCUGAGCCCUCAGCUCUGGAGCAAAGCAGCCCUGGAGCUGUGAAGCUCAGCGUCUCCCUCCCCAGGCUUUCGGGAAGUCAUUUGGGAGUGUGGGAGAAGAGCAGGAUGUGACAAAAACAGUUAACGUCAGCCUGGCUAACCUUGAAAGCUCUAGAUGGAGUUAUCUUAGCAGAGGGAGGAGGAAGCAUGAAGCUGCUGGGCGCCUCCCACCUCUGGGGAAGGAAGCACUUCUGAUUUUUCGGGCUCCGUGGGGGAGGGUUGGGAGCAUCUCUUGGAAUCUUCUGGCUCUAUCUCGAUGCCACUUAUUUCAGAAUUGCUGCGCAGGUGCUUUUUGGCUUUGGGCCCUGGGAGUGAGAGGGAAACGGUGUUCUCUGCAUCCCAGGCGGUUGCCACUCUUCUGGGUUUCCUUAGCGUAAGUUGUGCCCCCUUGGGGCACCCCCUCCCUGGGGCAGAGGGUGGCUUAUCUCCAUCAAGGGGCUGGGAAGGUCACCCCACCCCCAGGACAUGGAAAUCGACCCAAGCCUGUCAGCCUCAGUUACUUAAUCUACACAAGGGGUCCAAAGCGGCCCCCCUUUGGCAAGUGUGGAUUUGAUCCCCAUGGUUCCUUUUGUCAUGCGCUUUCCAGAAGGGUCCCUGGUGAAGGGUCAUGGGUCACCAUCUGCAAGCUCUGGUUUGAGCUGGAUGCUUGUCAAGGUUUGGGAGAAGCAGAAGCAUCUUGCAACCAAGGUUAUGGGCUCUGGAGUGAGACUAGCUUCCAAGUCUGGACACCGCCAUGUGCCUGGGUAUCCUUGGGCAGAUUAUUUAGCUUCUCUGGGCCUCAUGUGCUUUAUCCAUAAUGGGGACGGGUGGAUACGUGGGGAGGUUUAAAUGGGUUGAGACUUGGCCAGCCCUUAGAACAAUGACUCUCACUGUGUAUUGGUUAUAACUCUUCUGCUUGCCAGGUUUCACACGUUCAGGUGAUGGCUGGGCUCUAGGGGACGGCCAGGAACCCACCUGUGAUGGUCUAUUUGUGGUCCAGGUCACCUCUGCAGUGGGCCAUGCUGGGGGCGGCCACCAGGCCUCAACUUUUCUUUUCUUUUCUUUUUUUUUUUUUAUGGCUGCACCUGCAGCAUGUGGAAGUUCUUGGGCCGGGGUCAAAUUGGAGCUGCAGCUACAGGUUUAUGCCACAGCCAUGGCAUUGCCAGAUCCUUAAUGCACUGCACGAGGCCAGGGAUCAAACCUGCAUCCUCACUGAGUUGCAGCGACAACACUGGCUUCCUAACCUGCCGAACCACAAUGAGAACAACAGGCCUCAACUUUUUUGCUUUUGUUUUUGUGUUAGGGCCGCACCCAUGGCAUAGGGAGGUGCCCAGGCUAGGGUUCCAAUCGGAGCUAUCGCUGCCAGGUACACCACAGCCACAGCAACACCAGAUCCCAGGCGCGUCUUCGACCCACACCGCAGCUCAUGGCAGUGCCGGAUCCUUAACCCACUGAGCGAGACCAGGGAUCGCACCUGCAUCCUCAUGGAUACUAGUCAGAUUCAUUUCCACUGAGCCGUGACGGGAACACACAGGCCUCAACUUUCAAGCAUAGGUUUUUCUCGAGUACCAUUUAAAGCAAAGGUUGGAGGCCAGGCAAGGCAGAUGUCGGGGGUCCUGGAUGCUACCUUUUUCUGUUUUGUUUACCUUUAACAGGACAGAGGAGAACCACGAAGCCCCUCUGGGGGGGCCCUUCCCUGGCUGGGAUGUGCUUGCAUUGCCUUAGGAAACAGCAGGUGCAAUCGGCAGCCUCUUUCCCCAACCCCCGGCCGGGAUCUCCGGGGACUCCUUAGACUAAUGCAGUUUUAAUGAAUACACAUUACUGUUUACAUGGCUGAAAUGAGAGCCUGGCUGCUUAUUUUAUGCUGAGGUUUACAGCGCUGCCUUUAAAAAUCCUGCCUCCCUCGCUCUGCUUCUGGCCAAGGGGAUGUUUCCUGGCGGCCCUUCUGCCAUCCCUCCAGAUAAGGCAUUCACGGUGAGGUCCUGUGGUGUCGGAACCCCGGCCUUGCCUAGGAAGGAGUGGCAUGUAUACAACAAAAGUAUACAUUAUUGGAAGAAUUCUCAAAUGCUUGCCUAUUACAGAACAAUUAAAAAAUGAAGCUAUACCAGGAGAAGAAAAUAAAAAUCCUUGGUAGGUCCAUUACUCAGGAAAAAGAAAAA